UCCUGGCCAUGUGGGGUUCCAUCACGUGCUUGGCUUGUUCUUGCUAUUUGUCGAUAACGCUUCUAACUAAAGGCCCUUUAAGGAGAAUUGGUUCCUUGUUGGCAGCAAUUGGGAGAGCUUAGCGAGGUUGAGGUGAUAGACGCUCGUGUUGCCAGGUGCUUGCAUUGCCAAAUGUUGAGGGCGAAGGGUAAGAAACGACAUAAGUGAUAGUUUUAUGAUUCUUGUUUUCCACCAGCCUUCUAAUUAUGGUUUUGUUUUGUUUGUAUUGAUUGGAUGAGAAUGAUCCCUUUUCCGUGAAAAAAAAAAAGAGCUUCAAUCAGUGGGUAUGUCCUCUUUGCGUUCACAAAAACUCUCAACCACCAUUAUACUUACUGACCGUCGUUUACGAGCCAUUGGUUUUUCUAAGAGAGGGAGAAAUGGCCGAAAUGGAUGUUGGAUGGAGUGGGUCGCUCGCUGAGUGAUGGGGAAGAAGAGUGCCCCUAUUAACGCUCGGAAGAAGUAUGUUGGACGGGGGAUCGAUCGGGAAGGCGAUCGCGACCCUUAUACGGUGGUAGUGUCGCAAAGUUCCUCUGGUAUCAGCCAAGAAAGAUCUGCUGGAAAACACCCGUUGGUCGGCUGCUCAAGCCACCAAGAAACAAGUGCUCUGGUCUUCUGCUCCAGCCGCCAAAAGACCAAGGUUGCGUUUGAGGACGAGUGGGUUGGGCAAUAUUGCAAUCCUUCUACCUCGAUAGGGUGAUUAAACUUUAGCCUACUUAUCUAGUUUGUAAUAAGCAUGUUCAGACUUUUGAUUGUAUGCACAAUACACAUUAUUUAUGAUAAUUGUUUUAUGUACUA